CAGUUCAUAAGAUGGACGGAGAGAGGGUCUGGUUAGGCAUCACAUGGAGCUGGACAUAAAAUAAAAACCCUUCUUCACCCUGACAAACAUGUCCAUAUCAUGUUUUUCCUAUAAAUUUCAAAGAAGUUUUGUCCCCUCCACCCUACACAAAUUACCCUAAAUCUUGUUUUGUUUAAGAAGUGUGUAGACAAGGGAGCUUAUCUUUUCAGAGAAUUGCCUUGACUCCCAAAUCCAACACUGCCAGUCAUUGCGCUCUUACCUUUUAAGCUGAAAAUAUAUGAAGGGUUUCUUUUGCAAUAGAUAUUUUGUUCAUUUUUAG
rnacentral:lncRNA from 1 species